UACGAGGGGUGCAAGCGUUGCUCGGAAUCAUUGGGCGUAAAGGGUAGGUAGGUGGUCUCAUUUGUCUGAGGUGAAAGCCUUGAGCUUAACUCAAGAAGUGCCUCAGAAACGGUGAGACUGGAGUCCUGGAGAGGGUCGUGGAAUUCCCGGUGUAGCGGUGAAAUGCGUAGAUAUCUGGAGGAACAUCAGUGGCGAAGGCGACACCCUGGACUCAUACUGACAACUGAGGUGCGAAAGCGUGGGGAGCAAACAGG
rnacentral:rRNA from 1 species